GACAGAGGUCCCGAGCGUUAGGCGGAAUCACUGGGCUUAAAGCGUGUGUAGGCGGGUCGUUAAGUGCCUUGUGAAAUCCCACGGCUUAACCGUGGAACUGCUUGGCAUACUGGCGGUCUUGAGCAACCUAGGGGCAAGCGGAACAAAUGGUGGAGCGGUGAAAUGCGCAGAUAUCAGGAGGAACACCAAUGGCGAAGGCAGCUCGCUGGGACGGUACUGACGCUGAGACGCGAAAGCGUGGGGAGCAAACAGG
rnacentral:rRNA from 1 species